rnacentral:misc_RNA from 1 species
AAAUGCGAUAAUUAAUGUGAAUUGCAGAAUUCAGUGAAUCAUCGAGUCUUUGAACGCACAUUGCGCCCCCUGGUAUUUCGGGGGGCAUGCCUGUCCGAGCGUCAUUGCUGCCCUCAAGCACGGCUUGUGUGUUGGGCUUCCGUCCCUGGCAACGGGGACGGGCCCAAAAGGCAGUGGCGGCACCAUGUCUGGUCCUCGAGCGUAUGGGGCUUUGUCACCCGCUCCCGUAGGUCCAGCUGGCAGCUAGCCUCGCAACCAAUCUUUUUAACCAGGUUGACCUCGGAUCAGGUAGGGAUACCCGCUGAACUUAAGC